CGGGACGGGUGAGUAACGCGUGGAUAACCUGCCGUAUGCAGGGGGAUACCAACUGGAAACAGUUGCUAAUACCGCAUAAGCGCACAGUACCGCAUGGUAUAGUGUGAAAAGAUUUAUCGGCAUACGAUGGAUCCGCGUCCGAUUAGCCAGUUGGCGGGGUAGAAGCCCACCAAAGCGACGAUCGGUAGCCGGCCUGAGAGGGCGGACGGCCACAUUGGGACUGAGACACGGCCCAAACUCCUACGGAAGGCAGCAG
rnacentral:rRNA from 1 species